GUAGCGGCGAGCGAAGCGGCAACAGCUCAAAUUUGAAAUCUGGCUACUUUGUAGUCCGAGUUGUAAUUUGUAGAGGAUGCUUUUGGUGAGGUGCCUUCCGAGUUCCCUGGAACGGGACGCCAGAGAGGGUGAGAGCCCCGUACGGUUGGACACCAAACCUUUGUAUAGCUCCUUCAACGAGUCGAGUAGUUUGGGAAUGCUGCUCUAAAUGGGAGGUAUAUCUCUUCUAAAGCUAAAUAUAGGCUAGAGACCGAUAGCGCACAAGUAGAGUGAUCGAAAGAUGAAAAGCACUUUGAAAAGAGAGUUAAACAGCACGUGAAAUUGUUGAAAGGGAAGCGCCUAUGACCAGACUUGUUUCUGUCAGUUUUGCUUGUUUUCGGACUGCUUUACUCUGUUAGUACAGGCCAACAUCAGUUUGUUGUCGGGGAGAAAGGCUUAGGGAAUGUGGCUCCUUCGGGAGUGUUAUAGCCCUUUGCAUAAUACCCUUCGGCAGACUGAGGACCGCGCUUCGGCAAGGAUGUUGGCGUAAUGGUCAUCAGCGACCCGUCUUGAAACACGGACCAAGGAGUCAACCUUAUGUGCGAGUGUUUGGGUGUAAAACCCCAGCGCGUAAUGAACGUGAACGUAGGUGAGAGCUUCGGCGCAUCAUCGACCGAUUCUGAUGUUCUCGGAUGGAUUUGAGUAAGAGCAUAUAGGGUUGGACCCGAAAGAAGGUGAACUAUGCUUGUAUAGGGUGAAGCCAGAGGAAACUCUGGUGGAGGCUCGCAGCGGUUCUGACGUGCAAAUCGAUCGUCAAAUAUGAGCAUGGGGGCGAAAGACUAAUCGAACCUUCUAGUAGCUGGUUCCAGCCGAAGUUUCCCUCAGGAUAGCAGUGUUGAACUUCAGUUUUAUGAGGUAAAGCGAAUGAUUA
rnacentral:rRNA from 1 species